GACUCCUCAGUCCAGCUUCUCACAAUGAGGCUCCCUGCUCAGCUCCUGGGGCUGCUGGUGCUCUGGGUCCCUGGAUCCAGUGGGGAUAUUGUGAUGACCCAGACUCCACUCUCCCUGGUUGUCACCCCUGGAGAACCAGCCUCCAUCUCCUGCAGGGCUAGUAAGAGCCUCCUGUACAGUGAUGGAAAAACCUAUUUGUAUUGGUUCCUGCAGAAGCCUGGCCAGUCUCCACAGCGCCUGAUCUAUAGGGUUUCCAACCGGGACCCUGGAGUCCCAGACCGGUUCAGUGGCAGUGGGUCAGGGACAGAUUUCACCCUGAAGAUCAGCAGGGUGCAGGCUGAGGAUGCUGGGGUUUAUUACUGCUUGCAAGCUCUAGAAUAUCCUCACACAGUGAUACAGCCCCAAACACAAACCUCCCUGCUGGGUGGCCCAGCUGCCCACCAGGUUGUUUGUCUGGAAACUUUGUUACUCAGUGUUUGUCCGGAUGCCAGUGCAGCAUCAGCGCUGAUCCCUGUGAGCAGAUUACACCUGCCAAGUAGCAAAAGCACCUCAGGCAUGUUGAAUGACAGUCUUAGUUUUAACAAAUUAACAGGAUCCACUGGGGACAUUGUGAUGACCCAGGUUCCACUCUCCCUGAUCAGCACUCUUGAAGAGCCAAACUCUAUCUCUUGCUGGUCUAACAAGUGCCUUGUAAAUAAUUGA